rnacentral:lncRNA from 1 species
AUGGAGGAGGAUGAUGAAGAUGGAGGACAGGAGCACCAGCAUCCACAGCAUCCUGAGGAAACAUCAACAGAGGACAGAGACUUCUAUUCACCAAAACAAUACAGGAGCACCAGCAUCCACAGCAUCCUCAGGAUGAAACAUCACCAGAGGACAGAAAGACUUCUAUUCACCAAAACAAUCAAUAGUUUUGCUUCAGAGGAGAAUCCGACAGUUCCAGAUGUUCGUCACCAGCACUGCAGUGUUUACACAGACUGCUUUGGUUUCAACUUUUUACAAAAAAACUGUUGAAUUUUCAACUCACUUUCCAUCAGAAUCCAAGCUCAUCUUCAUCACUGGGAUGUUUCUUCAUCAGUUCUUCAUACAGACUGACACAGCUCACACAUGGAGAAGAUGAUUUAUGGAAUAUGACAUUUAGACUUUUCCUUUUCUCAACAGUAUGAUGCAUACAUCCCAACCCAAAUUUCAUGCAUUUUUUUGGCUUAACUUGAGCCAAUUUCUAUCAAUAAAUUGCUAAUGUAUUAUUGUUAUUGACUAUUA